rnacentral:rRNA from 1 species
UACGAAGGGGGCUAGCGUUGCUCGGAAUCACUGGGCGUAAAGGGUGCGUAGGCGGGUUUUUAAGUCAGAGGUGAAAUCCUGGAGCUCAACUCCAGAACUGCCUUUGAUACUGAAAGUCUUGAGUAUGGGAGAGGUGAGUGGAACUGCGAGUGUAGAGGUGAAAUUCGUAGAUAUUCGCAAGAACACCAGUGGCGAAGGCGGCUCACUGGCCCAUAACUGACGCUGAGGCACGAAAGCGUGGGGGAGCAAACAGG